rnacentral:rRNA from 1 species
AACGAACGCUGGCGGCAGGCUUAACACAUGCAAGUCGAACGCCCCGCAAGGGGAGUGGCAGACGGGUGAGUAACGCGUGGGAAUCUACCUGAUACUACGGAACAACUGAGGGAAACUUCAGCCAAUACCGUAUACGCCCUAAGGGGGAAAGAUUUAUCGGUAUCAGAUGAGCCCGCGUUGGAUUAGCUAGUUGGUGGGGU